rnacentral:tRNA from 1 species
CCCUGGCUAGCCCAGUUGGUAGAGCCCUCUACUGGAAAUGGAGAGGUCCCGGGUUCGAUACCCGGACCAGGCG